rfam:Loxodonta africana unplaced genomic scaffold scaffold_86, whole genome shotgun sequence.
ACCCUGGUGGCAUAGUGGUUAAGUGCUAUGGCUGCCAACCAAAGGGUUGGCAGUUCAAAUCUGCCGGGUG